CAUAUUUUUAAAUCUUAAAAAAAAAUAAAAGAAAAUUUUAUUAAAAUAAACUAAUAAUAAGUUAAUAAAAAGAGAUAAAAUAAAAAGGAAUUAACUUGAUAUAUAUAUAUGAGAACUAUUUCAAAAAUUAAUGUGAAACAAAUUAAUUAAAAUUAUGUACUAAAGUACGCCAAGACAUACAAAUAGCGGUCACAUCAAAAUAAAACAGUUAACUAAUGUAAAAAGAGGGUAUGUCUUUCACCUCUUCAUUCGGAAGUGGAGGCUUUAAUUUGGGCAAUGGAAUGUAUGAAGAAUUUAAGACAGUUUCAAGUUACGUUUGCAACGGAUUGUUCUCAA
rnacentral:lncRNA from 1 species